UUUCCGGUUGAUCCCGCCGGACCUGAUUGCUAUCGGAUUGGUACUAAGCCAUGCGAGUAAGUGUAGCAAUACACUGCAGACGGCUCAGUAACACGUGGUCAAGCUAACCUAUGGACGUGGAUAACCUCGGGAAACUGAGAAUAAACCGCGAUAGAUCAUGAUGCCUGGAAUGGCUCAUGGUCGAAAUAGUUUACUGCCGUAGGAUGCGACUGCGGCCUAUCAGUUUGUUGGUGAGGUAAUGGCCCACCAAGACUAUUACAGGUACGGGCUCUGAGAGGAGAAGCCCGGAGAUGGGUACUGAGACACGGACCCAGGCCCUAUGGGGCGCAGCAGGCGAGAAACCUUAGCAAUGUGCGAAAGCACGACUGGGUUAGUCCGAGUGAUUCCUGCUAAAGGAAUCUUUUGCCGGUCCUAAAAGCACCGGUGAAUAAGGGGUGGGCAAGUCUGGUGUCAGCCGCCGCGGUAAUACCAGCACCUCGAGUGAUCAGGACGUUUAUUGGGCCUAAAGCAUCCGUAGCUGGCUUUGCAAGUCUCCGGUUAAAUCAACCUGCUCAACAGAUUGGCCGCUGGAGAUACUACAAGGCUAGGGAGUGGGAGAGGCAGACGGUAUUCGGGGGGUAGGGGUAAAAUCCUCUGAUCCUCUGAGGACCACCAGUGGCGAAGGCGGUCUGCCAGAACACGUUCGACAGUGAGGGAUGAAAGCUGGGGGAGCAAACCGGAUUAGAUACCCGGGUAGUCCCAGCUGUAAACGAUGCAAACUCGGUGAAGCAUUGGCUUAAUGCUAAUGCUGUGCCGCAGGGAAGCCGUUAAGUUUGCCGCCUGGGAAGUACGGUCGCAAGAUUGAAACUUAAAGGAAUUGGCGGGGGAGCACCACAAGGGGUGAAGCCUGCGGUUCAAUUGGAUUCAACGCCGG
rnacentral:rRNA from 1 species